CCUCCCAGGAGCCUGACUCAGUGCCUGCGUGGACCUUUCCAGCUGUCCCCAGAACAGCCCUAAGGUGGAGCACAGUGAAAUGGAUGCAGUCUGCCUCUCAGGGAAGUGGCUGGAGCAUAAUGGGGAGGAGAAUUGAAGUUCCUACAAAGGUUUUCUGCCUGACAGUGAACCAGAACACUCGUGGAGCUAGGAUCCCUUCAAGCUCUACAGGUUCAAUGUCCUCACUGGAAUCCUGUGUCCCGAUACCUGGACCCUGUCAGGAGUCUUGUCCAGCUAUCCCGAGGCACAUAGAGGGAACAAUGCUUCUCCUGAUGUACCAUCCUUCAUCUACGGGCCAGUUGGGUCUCCUAAGGUGA
rnacentral:lncRNA from 1 species